GGGGUUGUGGCUCAGUGGUAGAGCGCUUGCCUAGCAUGUGUGAGACACUGGGUUUGAUUCUCAGCACCA
rnacentral:tRNA from 1 species